rnacentral:rRNA from 1 species
AUAUCAAUAAGCGGAGGAAAAGAAACCAACAGGGAUUGCCUUAGUAACGGCGAGUGAAGUGGCAAAAGCUCAGAUUUGAAAUCUGAUGUCAAUUUGGCAUCUGAGUUGUAAUCUGUAGAGGAGUAUUCAAGUAUGACUUUGGCUAAGUUUUCUUAGAAUAGAGCAUCAUAGAAGGUGAGAAUCCUGUCUAUAGUUAAAGUUUUAUGCUUAUAUGAAUCUCCUUCAAUGAGUCGAGUUGUUUGGGAAUGCAGCUCUAAAUUGGUGGUAAAUUCCAUCUAAAGCUAAAUAUUGGCAAGAGACCGAUAGUGCACAAGUAGAGUGAUCGAAAGAUGAAAAGAACUCUGAACAGAGAGUUAAAUAGUACGUGAAAUUGUUGAAAGGGAAGCACUUGCAACUAGAUAUAUUUAGAACUAAUCAAUUACUAUUUAUUAGUGAUGCACUUAGUUUUAAAUGCGUCAAUAUGAGUUAUCAUAAGCAGGAAAAAGAUUGAUGGAAUGUAGCUCUCUUCGGGGAGUGUUAUAGCUGUUAAUUGAAUACUGCUCGUUAUGACUGAGGACUGCACUGAAUAAGUAAGGAUAUUGACAUAAUGGUUGUAAGUGA